AUUGGCUCCUUAUAAGGCUUUAUUAAUAAUGCUUGAGUGAUAAAAAAUUAAGGAAAUGUAUCAUUUGACUGAAAUGUAAACAACUAUAUAAGACUGGUAUUAGAGGAGCAGGACAGAGGGAGACCAAGGUGGCACCUGUGUGUGACCAUCUCUGUCUCCUUCUCCCUGCAUGCUUGUAUUCAAAAAUAAAAGGACCUCAGACUGUUUGAACCAAACAGAUGGUGUGACUCAUUUUCCACAACAAUUUGGGGACUCGUCUGGGAUCCACCGUAUACCAUCCAUGACUAGAGGACCACAUGCUGUUUCCCUCCGAACCCAGGGCAUCAUGUAAAAGGUCUCUUUAUACACAGGUAAAAGAAGCACUAUCCAAGAAUCCUGAGCAACCCUGCCACUUGCUCGGACCAAAAAAGACUGGGUCUAUAUAAAGGUCCAUCAGAGAAAGACUGCCCUGGCCCUGCACUGGAGAAGCCCUUACCAAGUCCUGUUAAUUACCAACAUAGCUGUGGGGUGCCGGGGACUGACUGCCAUCCCUCCACCUCAGGAUGAUCCUCUGACUGAUGCUACUGUUCCUUCUGGACAGCAGGAGAAAAGAACAAGGUGAAGUGCUAGUAACCUCUCUCUUAUCCACUGACAGAACUACUGUGCAUUUGGACUUUGCUAGAAGAACCAAACCAUUACAGGGUGAUGUGCUAGUAACCUCUCCCCUGCAUAAUGCUAAACCACGGCUGUUCCAAGAAAAAAGAAGGAACACUCGCUCUUCUAAAACCACCGAUGUCCAGGGAUUCCUGACCACAAAAGACAUUAAGAAUUGGCCCUAGUGGAAAAGACUAAGUAUUGCUAAUUGGCAGGGAGGGAAUUGUGGGGACCGCGCUUGGAAAUGUGAAGUUAAGUGGUGGGGUGUUUUUUUUUCCAGGGGCUGGGCUCUGUGCUUACUAACAAGUACCAUCAAAAUGCACUGUCCUCCCUAACUGGCUUCCAGAGGAUAAAUACCAAAACCACCUUGUUGCCACAAACAUUACUCCCACCAUUCCCGCCACCUCUGUCACCACCCCUAAAAUUUACCCGAAUACAGAUAAUACUAUAUAUUCUAAUGAAACCCAAUGGCCCAGGCCUUCAAAUGGGUCAGUGAAAAUAAAAAUAUAUAUUACCUCAAAUGAGCCCCAGGAAUCAGAAAUUGAGAUUAAUGGGUUCUAUGACAAGGUAAAUAUGUCGUCCGCUCCUGAACGCCGCAGUGUAUUGGAUGAAGUAGACCCUUACUGUUAUUUGAUCACUCAACUGGUGAAUAAUCAACCAAAUACCAAAAAAAAUGAAAAUAAAAAGUUUGUUCUGCUACUGAAAAGCUGGCUUGUACUGAAAGUGUCCCAACAACUAAUAAUUUAAAUGGUACCAUAUUGCAGUACACCCCGUCCUAUGCUAUUGAUGCUGAGGCCUCUCAAAAGUAUAUAAGGGUGUUCAGCCAUCAAAUGUGGUAUAAUACUUCAUCAAAGAGAAAUGGGUUGGAGUUUCAAUGGACUGUAAUUAAUGCUACACUAGGGAUUUGCAAAAUUUACACUCCCCUUAUCUAGUUUUCAGAUUACCUCUAUGUAUCCUAACUGUUCAAAAGGAGCUGCCAUUUGGUUGGCACAGCAAUAGACCUAAGUUUCCACUAGCAAGAAAAGGGAUUUGGCUGGACACCUAUGGGAUGGUGCAAAUAGCAUAGCUGCAAUCUGGAAUAUCCGUAAAGGUCAACAACAUGAGGAAAAAAUUGGGACAGUUGGAAAAAGCCAUGGGCCUUAUUACUGGAGCACAGCUAGCCCAGGUUCAGGCUGGUGUUGGUAAAUUAUACAUUAUCUCAGCCCUUAGUUCAAUGACCCAAAAGCUGUUAACAGAGAUGGUACUGGGUAUCACCAAUGCUGGAAAGGCAUUGCAGUGGGAUCAGGCUUGUUCAGAGGUUCAGGAUUUUCUGAAUGACCAGUUCACAGCCAUUCAGAGGGAUCUUGAACAUCAGGCGUGGCCCUCUGCCAUUACUGUCACCUCGGGAGUACCAUCUGAUCUGUGUGAAAGACACACUUGGAGACUUUCUAAGUGGAAAUGCAGAUGUUUUCAGUGCUCCUUCCGAGCGUACGGGCCGGUUGGAGGGGUAUGGGCUCCCACCUACCGAACCCUGCCAGGUCCAUAAAGGGUGCAUAUGGGACUGGAUAAUUCACCGAGACAUUUGGGAACUUGAACUACCUGGUAUGCCCAACUGAUUUUUAGUCAGUGCUCCUGGAAUAACGCCCAACAUUUGGAUAGGGAUUAGAAGCCAAUGGACAUUCUGGCCAUUAGAACCCUCUCAACUUCGGUGUGCACGUAAACUAAAACCAGGAGAGGUUGUCACUGUUCAUGACAACAUUUGUUGGGAGGAUAUGGGACGUGGGACUACCCUGACAGGACACCUACUUUUCCAAGUUAAUAAUAUCUGUGUGCAUGUUAAGACCACUACCUUGAAUGAUGUACACUUUAAUCUCACUACAGCUGCAGGCAAUCAUAUCAUUCAUUGGCCCGCAGAUGAUACAAUUUUACAAUUAGCCCUUAGGUACCAUACCCUUUAACUAGACUACUUUAGUACCUGACCAAUUCCAAAAUUUGCUUUCAAUCCUACCAGAGGUUAAAAAAAUCCUGAUUUACAAGAAAAAAUUCAUAUGCUCCAAAAAUAUAUCAAAUUAAGAAGCAUGCUUUCCAUACAGCCUAUAAAGUGUCUGCUUUAUGUACUAAGUAUAAUGUAUUGUGUUCUGUGACUAAGGCUAUACAACAACCCCAUCAUAUUGUUACAAUGGAAUGUUAAUGCUUUUAGUGUUGUUUAGUUAGGAUUAUGUUAUCGUUAUUGUAAAGGAUGUAAUAAAACUAGCACCUUCCAUAUUCAUCCUAACCAUGCAUUGUUGUAGCAUUCAGCUAAACCCCCAAAGGCUAAGCCAUUUAAUUUAAAAUAAAAAAAUACAAGAUUUGAUAAAAAUGAAGGUUUAAAACUAAUAGUUGUGCUAAAGCACAAAAUGGGGGAAUUGUGGGGGAAAAUAUUGUUGACCUGACUCUAUCCCACUUUGUGACAAGACCUAUGCACUAUAUGCAGCAUAGGCAAGAGCAGUAACGCAAGAGACCUACAGGCCUGCAUCCUGUAAGACUUAGCUUAAACUAAGAGCAUAUGCUGGGCCAUGGUAUUUUGACACAGAUAACAAAACUAGGCCAACCUUUUACCUAGCUCAAGACCCUAUCUGUCUAUUAUGUACAACCCCCCACAAACCUGCAAAAGCCCCUAGACAAAACGCUGCCACAAACAAACCGCAGAUCUUGAUAAUAACAAAGUGCGUCAGCAUAAUGCUAAUUAUAAAGCUGUUUACCUUGGCUCCUUAUAAGGCUUUAUUAACAAUGCUUGAGUGAUAAAAAAAAUUAAGGAAAUGCAUCAUUUGACUGAAAUAUAAAAAACUAUAUAAGACUGGUAUUAUGGGGCAGGACAGAGGGAGACCAGGGUGGUACCUGUGUGUGACCAUCUCUGUCUCCUUCUCCCUGCAUGCUUGUAUUCAAAAAUAAAAGGACCUCAGACUGUUUGAACCAAA